CCGAGAUUGAAGUUUCCGCGCUCGAAC
rnacentral:sRNA from 1 species